rnacentral:rRNA from 1 species
UCUCGGACGGGUGAGUAACGCGUGAGAAUCUAGCUUCAGGUCGGGGACAACCACUGGAAACGGUGGCUAAUACCGGAUGUGCCGAAAGGUGAAAGAUUUAUUGCCUGAAGAUGAGCUCGCGUCUGAUUAGCUAGUUGGUGUGGUAAGAGCGCACCAAGGCGACGAUCAGUAGCUGGUCUGAGAGGAUGAUCAGCCACACUGGGACUGAGACACGGCCCAGACUCCUACGGGAGGCAGCAGUGGGGAAUUUUCCGCAAUGGGCGAAAGCCUGACGGAGCAAUACCGCGUGAGGGAGGAAGGCUCUUGGGUUGUAAACCUCUUUUCUCAGGGAAUAAAAAAAUGAAGGUACCUGAGGAAUAAGCAUCGGCUAACUCCGUGCCAGCAGCCGCGGUAAUACGGAGGAUGCAAGCGUUAUCCGGAAUGAUUGGGCGUAAAGCGUCCGCAGGUGGCACUGUAAGUCUGCUGUUAAAGAGCAAGGCUCAACCUUGUAAAGGCAGUGGAAACUACAGAGCUAGAGUACGUUCGGGGCAGAGGGAAUUCCUGGUGUAGCGGUGAAAUGCGUAGAGAUCAGGAAGAACACCGGUGGCGAAAGCGCUCUGCUAGGCCGUAACUGACACUGAGGGACGAAAGCUAGAGGAGCGAAUGGGAUUAGAUACCCCAGUAGUCA